CGGACACAGAGAUGUGUCUUUUCAGUUCGGCUGGACCGGAGUACAGGUGCUGCAUGGCUGUCGUCAGCUCGUGUCGUGAGAUGUUGGGUUAAGUCCCGCAACGAGCGCAACCCUCGCCCUUAGUUGCCAGCAUUUAGUUGGGCACUCUAAGGGGACUGCCGGUGAUAAGCCGAGAGGAAGGUGGGGAUGACGUCAAGUCCUCAUGGCCCUUACGGGCUGGGCUACACACGUGCUACAAUGGUGGUGACAGUGGGCAGCGAGUUCGCGAGGACGAGCGGAUCCCUCAAAGCCGGUCGCAGUUCGGAUUGAAGUCUGCAACUCGACUUCAUGAAGCUGGAAUCGCUAGUAAUCGUGGAUCAGCCAAGCCGCGGUGAAUACGUUCCCGGGCCUU
rnacentral:rRNA from 1 species